rnacentral:rRNA from 1 species
GAUGAACGCUGGCGGCGUGCCUAAUACAUGCAAGUCGAGCGAACAGACGAGGAGCUUGCUCCUCUGACGUUAGCGGCGGACGGGUGAGUAACACGUGGAUAACCUACCUAUAAGACUGGGAUAACUUCGGGAAACCGGAGCUAAUACCGGAUAAUAUAUUGAACCGCAUGGUUCAAUAGUGAAAGACGGUUUUGCUGUCACUUAUAGAUGGAUCCGCGCCGCAUUAGCUAGUUGGUAAGAUAACGGCUUACCAAGGCGACGAUGCGUAGCCGACCUGCGAGGGUGAUCGGCCACACUGGAACUGAGCCACGGUCCAGACUCCUACGGGAGGCAGCAGUAGGGAAUCUUCCGCAAUGGGCGAAAGCCUGACGGAGCAACGCCGCGUGAGUGAUGAAGGUCUUCGGAUCGUAAAACUCUGUUAUUAGGGAAGAACAAAUGUGUAAGUAACUAUGCACGUCUUGACGGUACCUAAUCAGAAAGCCACGGCUAACUACGUG